rnacentral:misc_RNA from 1 species
UACGUGGGGUGCGAGCGUUAUCCGGAUUUACUGGGCGUAAAGCGUACCGUCGGCGGUUCGCCAAGUCUGAUGUUUAAACCCAAGGCUCAACUUUGGAACAGCAUCAGAAACUGGAGAACUUGAGUAUGUUAGGGGUAGUUGGAAUUCUCGGUGGAGGGGUGAAAUCCGUAGAUAUCGAGAGGAACGCCAAGCGCGAAGGCAGACUACUAAGACAUUACUGACGCUCAUGGACGAAAGCUAGGGUAGCAAAAGGG